CCUACGGGAGGCUGCAGUAGGGAAUUUUGCGCAAUGGGCGAAAGCCUGACGCAGCAACGCCGCGUGAUCGAGAAGCCCUUCGGGGUCGAAAGAUCUGUCAGUGGGGACGAAACUUGACGGUACCCACAGAGGAAGCACCGGCUAACUCCGUGCCAGGAGCCGCGGUAUUACGGGGGGUGCAAGCGUUGUCCGGAAUCAUUGGGCGUAAGGUGUUCGUAGGCGGCACGUAAAGUCUGGUGUUAAAGGCAGAGGCUCAACUUCUGUACGGCACUGGAUAUUUGCGAGCUAGAAUGCGGUAGAGGUUAAGGGAAUUCCUGGUGUAGCGGUGAAAUGCGUAGAUAUCAGGAGGAACAUCAGUGGCGUAAGCGCUUUACUGGGCCGUAAUGGACGCUGAGGAACGAAAGCGAGGGUAGCAAAUGGGAUUAGAUACCCGAGUAGUC
rnacentral:rRNA from 1 species